ACAUUAAUCUCUGCUCUUAAUCCUAAAUUAAGUCAACCGAGACAAAAGGUUUUGAAUUUCACGUUAACGAAGAGGAAUCUUGAUCAUGACCGAAGCUUACAGUAACAAGAAGAAGUCCUGGAAGGUGAUCAACUUCGGUGGUGAUGCCCGAACCGAGAUUGAAGCUUUUCAAGCUUCGCGACCUGGAAAACAGGGAGAAGCAGAGCAGGAAAGGCGCAGCUCAGGAAUGCUGAGAAACGACGGCGACAAAGGCAAUGGCGAUGAGGAUGAUCAGAAUCGGGAUCUGAAAGCAAACUUCAGUCAGUACUCAAGCCGUCGGAAGCUCUCGGUUUCGGCAAGGAGACGAGGCCGC
rnacentral:lncRNA from 1 species